rnacentral:rRNA from 1 species
CUUUGUACACACCGCCCGUCGCUACUACCGAUUGAAUGGCUCAGUGAGGCCUUCGGACUGGCUCGAAGAGGUUGGCAACGACCACUUCGAGCCGGAAAGUUCGUCAAACUCGGUCAUUUAGAGGAAGUAAAAGUCGUAACAAGGUUUCCGUAGGUGAACCUGCGGAAGGAUCAUUA